rnacentral:rRNA from 1 species
GCUGUUCGCCAUUUAAAGUGGUACGCGAGCUGGGUUUAGAACGUCGUGAGACAGUUCGGUCCCUAUCUGCCGUGGGCGCUGGAGAACUGAGGGGGGCUGCUCCUAGUACGAGAGGACCGGAGUGGACGCAUCACUGGUGUUCGGGUUGUCAUGCCAAUGGCACUGCCCGGUAGCUAAAUGCGGAAGAGAUAAGUGCUGAAAGCAUCUAAGCACGAAACUUGCCCCGAGAUGAGUUCUCCCUGAGACUUAAAGUCUCCUGAAGGAACGUUGAAGACGACGACGUUGAUAGGCCGGGUGUGUAAGCGCAGCGAUGCGUUGAGCUAACCGGUACUAAUGAACCGUGAGGCUUAACCUUAC